UUACUUGUGUGUUGGUUUAAU
rnacentral:miRNA from 1 species